AUUCCAGCUCCAAGAGCGUAUAUUAAAGUUGUUGCAGUUAAAAAGCUCGUAGUUGGAUUUCUGGUACAAUGCGCCUGGCCCGCGACGGUUACGUCUGUGAGUGCCGGUGCGCGUUUGCCAUCCUUCUAGAAAACGUUUCUACCCUUCGCUGGGCCGGAUUCGCGAUCUAGAUCUUUUACUUUGAAAAAAUUAGAGUGUUUAAAGCAGGCUUUUGCUAUGAAUACAUUAGCAUGGAAUAAUAAUCUAGGACUUCGGUUCUAUUUUGUUGGUUUCUAGUACUGAAGUAAUGAUUGAUAGGGAUAGUUGGGGGUGCUAGUAUUGGGCGGCCAGAGGUGAAAUUCUUGGAUUCGCUCAAGACUAACUUAUGCGAAAGCAUUCACCAAGGAUGUCUUCAUCA
rnacentral:rRNA from 1 species